GUUCAUUAUAUAAAGAACUUUCUGUGUCCUUUAGUUGGCGUUCUGUGAUACAGAAAUUGAUCCUACUCUGCUAAACUUCUUAAAAUCCUGCUUUAUCCUGAACUCCUAAGGUCAUAAAAGAGCCAAGCAGGGGAUCAGAGAGUGCCAACUUCAGGAUGUCUACUGCAACUUUUUUGAUUUAUAAGGUCCCAAUCAUAGUUGCAUUUGGUCUGGCAGGUCUCUUGUUUGAAGGUGUUAGCAGACUUUUCAAGAACCGCCCUGAAGAUGACAAUGGGGACACAGGAGCCCAGAAAACAUCCAAACAGCAUUCAAAGAAAUCCAAGUGAAAUCUACCCAUGUAAUUAAGCAAAUCUAAAGAACAUCUUUCACUGGAACCCAAAGAAGUCCUCCACCUUCUGGGCUUUCAUAAACCAAGAUCUCCCUUCCCUGACAAAUAAGGAAAUAUCUUACCCUUUGCUUGCACCCUGAAUCUUGUGAUUUGACUCAGUUUGAUAAAUCAUAAUCUAUUGAAUAAAUAGAAAUUUAAUGUGUAUUUUAACCAAAAGUCCUCCCCAGGGCAUUUACUGUUUUGUUGUGUGGGCAUCUAUAAGUCUUACUGUAUAAGUGUAUGUAUUUCCCUUGCCUGAUUUGGUGGGUUGGAAGAACAAAUAGCCACAACUAUGAUUUUCUAUAAUCAUUUGUUUACUCAAUAACUGUGUAUUGAAUGCUUAAUUAAUAUGUUAAAAGCUCUUUUCAGGGCAGGAGUUAAGUAAACAUUGU